AAUGGACUCGCUCCUCUUUAGA
rnacentral:tRNA from 1 species